rnacentral:rRNA from 1 species
GACGAACGCUGGCGGCGUGCUUAACACAUGCAAGUCGAACGGAAAGGCCCUGCUCUUGUGGGGUGCUCGAGUGGCGAACGGGUGAGUAACACGUGAGUAACCUGCCCUUGACUUUGGGAUAACUUCAGGAAACUGGGGCUAAUACCGGAUAGGAGCUCCUGCUGCAUGGUGGGGGUUGGAAAGUUUCGGCGGUUGGGGAUGGACUCGCGGCUUAUCAGCUUGUUGGUGGGGUAGUGGCUUACCAAGGCUUUGACGGGUAGCCGGCCUGAGAGGUUGACCGGCCUCAUUGGGCCUGCGAUACGGCCCAGACUCCUACGGGAGGCAGCAGUGGGGAAUAUUGCACAGUGGGGGGAAGCCUGAUGCGGCAACGCCGCGUGCGGGAUGACGGCCUUCGGGUUGUAAACCACUUUCGACUGUGACGAAGCGUGAGUGACGGUAAUGGGUAAAGAAGCACCGGCUAACUACGUG